GCGUAUGUAUAAUGCUGAAAAGAAAAGGCAAGGCCGGAGUUCAGUCCAAUGGAAAAAUUUGGUUGUAAGCUUCACUACUUCUGAUUUUCAGAAAACAAUGUUUCAUUUUGUCCGAUUUCACUUCUUGAGUCAUUUGAUUGUGUUUAGGGCAUUCCUCCCCAACCUAGCAACAAGGAGUGUGGAUACUUUAUCAUGCGAUACAUGAGAGAUAUCAUUGAGGAUAAAGACAUGUCAUUAUUUCCUACGAAGUGGGAGAGGAGAGGCAGCAACCAAUACACCCAAGCAGAUAUUGAUCAAGUGCGAAAUGAGUGGGGGAAGUUUGUUGUCAACACAUAUGUGCAUGAGCCUUGAAGUAGCGCGCUUGUUGCUAGUACAAUUUUGAUAAGGAAAGCAUCUUUUUUGUGCUUCUCUGCUGGUACAUUGUCAUGCACCAUGUGGCAUGUUUUGGAACAAUACAUAUAUGUGUAUCAGCUUUUUGAUGUCCCAAGUAGAUGGGCAUGCACUAGAAUUCUUUUCUUGUUUAAAAUGUUGGUUUUCUUAUUUGGAAAUGCACCUCUUUUGCUUUUGAAGUUUAAAGUAUUGGUUAGAUUACUCA